rnacentral:rRNA from 1 species
GAUGAACGCUGGCGGCGUGCCUAAUACAUGCAAGUAGAGCGAACAGACGAGGAGCUUGCUCCUCUGACGUUAGCGGCGAACGGGUGAGUAACACGUGGAUAACCUACCUAUAAGACUGGGAUAACUUCGGGAAACCGGAGCUAAUACCGGAUAAUAUAUUGAACCGCAUGGUUCAAUAGUGAAAGACGGUUUUGCUGUACCUUAUAGAUGGAUCCGCGCCGCAUUGGCUAGUUGGUAAGGUAACGGCUUACUAAGGCAACGUUGAGUAGCCAACCUAAAGGGUGGUUCGGCCACCCGGGAACGGGACCACGGUCCAGACUCCUAGGGGAGGCACCAGUAGGGAAUCUUCGGCAAUGGGCGAAAGCCUGACGGACCAACGCCGCGUGAGUGAUGAAGGUCUUCGGAUCUUAAAACCCGUUUAUUGGGGAAGAACAAAUGGGGAAUGAACUAUGCACGUCGUGACGGUACCUAAUCAGAAAGCCACGGCUAACUACGUG